rnacentral:rRNA from 1 species
GACGAACGCUGGCGGCGUGCUUAACACAUGCAAGUCGAACGGAAAGGCCCUGCUUUUGUGGGGUGCUCGAGUGGCGAACGGGUGAGUAACACGUGAGUAACCUGCCCUUGACUUUGGGAUAACUUCAGGAAACUGGGGCUAAUACCGGAUAGGAGCUCCUGCUGCAUGGUGGGGGUUGGAAAGUUUCGGCGGUUGGGGAUGGACUCGCGGCUUAUCAGCUUGUUGGUGGGGUAGUGGCUUACCAAGGCUUUGACGGGUAGCCGGCCUGAGAGGGUGACCGGCCACAAUGGGACUAAGAUACGGCCCAGACGCCUACGGGAGGCAGCGGUGGGGAAUAUUGCGCAAUGGGCGGAAGCGUGAUGCGGCAACGCCGCGUGCGGGAUGCCGGCCUUCGGGUUGUAAACCGCUUUCGCCUGUGACGAAGCGGGAGUGACGGUAAUGGGUAAAGAAGCACCGGCUAACUACGU